CGCGCCCGUGACUUCUCUUUCGUGAAAAAAACAUCCAAUAACUUUAUCACAGUUUCAUCCAAAGCAAGGAUUGUCAAAUGUUAACAUUUUUGCUUUUACUUAUUUUAUGGCAUUAUCAGGUCGUAAGCCUCGGUACAUCAUCGUCUGCCUCCUGAGUCCUGUCUGUUCACUCCAAGAAUGCUAGAAGACUGCUGACAGACACUGCACACGGGUGUCCACGUUUUUGAAUGAUGGAAGAUACUUCCUCGUGGCUGCCUCCAUCAUUCAAUGUUGUGAAAAAUGAUGGAGCCUACAUCUCCGGUAUGGUCAAUACUGAUGAAGACCUCAAUACCUUACUGGAGAGUCACAGAAGAGCAACACUGAC